UACGUAGGGGGCUAGCGUUGUCCGGAAUCAUUGGGCUUAAAGGGCGCGUAGGCGGCGGUGUAAGUUGGAAGUGAAAUCCCAUCGGCUCAACCGUGGAAUUGCUCCCAGUACUGCAUCGCUCGAGGGGGAUAGGGGUUUGCGGAACUACCGGUGGAGCGGUGAAAUGUGUUGAUAUCGGUGGGAACGCCAGUGGCGAAAGCGGCAAACUUGACCCUUCCUGACGCUGAGGCGCGAAAGCUAGGGGAGCAAACGGG
rnacentral:rRNA from 1 species